CCUACGGGAGGCAGCAGUGAGGAAUAUUGGUCAAUGGGCGUAAGCCUGAACCAGCCAAGUCGCGUGAGGGAUGAAGGUCCUAUGGAUUGUAAACCUCUUUUAUAAGGGAAUAAAGUGCGGGACGUGUCCCGUUUUGUAUGUACCUUAUGAAUAAGGAUCGGCUAACUCCGUGCCAGCAGCCGCGGUAAUACGGAGGAUCCGAGCGUUAUCCGGAUUUAUUGGGUUUAAAGGGUGCGUAGGCGGCCUUUUAAGUCAGCUGUGAAAGUCUGUGGCUCAACCAUAGAAUUGCCGUUGAAACUGGGAGGCUUGAGUAUGUUUGAGGCAGGCGGAAUGCGUGGUGUAGCGGUGAAAUGCUUAGAUAUCACGCAGAACCCCGAUUGCGAAGGCAGCCUGCCAAGCCAUGACUGACGCUGAUGCACGAAAGCGUGGGGAUCAAACAGGAUUAGAUACCCGGGUAGUC
rnacentral:rRNA from 1 species